GGCUACACACGUGCUACAAUGGGUAGAACAGAGAGUUGCAAGGCCGUGAGGUGGAGCUAAUCUCAGAAAACUAUUCUUAGUUCGGAUUGUACUCUGCAACUCGAGUACAUGAAGUUGGAAUCGCUAGUAAUCGCGAAUCAGCAAUGUCGCGGUGAAUACGUUCUCGGGUCUUGUACACACCGCCCGUCACACCACGAGAGUUGGUUGCACCUGAAGUAGCAGGCCUAACCGUAAGGAGGGAUGCUCCGAGGGUGUGAUUAGCGAUUGGGGUGAAGUCGUAACAAGGUAUCCGUACGGGAACGU
rnacentral:rRNA from 1 species